AAUUUUAUUUCAUCACAAUCAUUGAAUCAUGAAUCAACGAUCGUGAUCACGCAGUUUUUAGUCGACGUGUAAUUCACCGAAUCGCCAAUUUUGUUCUCUUUACCCAGUGAUUUCUUGUCCACCCUGCCUCAUUCUCCAGAGAGAUUACUUCAUAUAAGUUUUACGUCGCAGAAGCUGGAAGAAACAAAACGAAGAAAAUCUCGUAUUUCGUAACGAUGGUUUGUUUACCGUGCAUCAUCAUCCCGGUUCUGUUGUGGGUGUUUCACCGGUUUUUACAGCCGUACUUAAUGCCUCUGAUGCCGGCGAAGAUUCGGAACUGGUUCAGUGUCAAGGCGGAAAAGAUGGAACAGUUUGGCGGACCGCCACCGGGAGCAAAUUCGUCUGAAAAAGAGAAAACGGGUGACGCAACGACUGCAAAUGGAGCCAGCACAGAAAUCAAAACAGGAGAUGACAAGAAGACAGACUGAUGGAUGUGCAGUGCAAAUCCUGGAACUUUGUAAACAUGGAAAUCAUUUUCUUGAGAGACUACCAGAUGUCAAUUUUAUUCUGCGCAGGACAAGAACUUUAAAAUGUAUUUAUACUGUCAGCAUAUUUUGGAUCAUUUGGAUGUACAGAGAACUAAAUUAAAUUUAAAUACAUAUCUCACAAACCAUACAGUUCCAAUCCUGUAGUUUUUAAGUACGUAAAUGUAUCUUAACCACCCUUUGUUUUCCAAAAUCUACCAAAAUCCAACGUCCACUGUGCUGGAUCGUUUUGAUGGAUUUUGAUGGUUUUGGGACUAUACAGCUCAGCUAGUGUUACUUUGCAUGGGCAUUAAUUCAUUGGUGUUUAAUAGUCGGAGAAUGUGCAAUAGGAUCCGGAUGCAGCACUUGUUCAAUUUUGUUGGAUUUUGAUAGAGUUGGGAAGCUGGCCAUGCUGGCAUAAGAAAACACGGGUUGUUGAACUCUAUCCCUCCAAAAUGUCAGAGAACUUUCAUUUGAUCAGACGUAGUAAUGACCUACAUGUAUUUCUGUUUUUGCAGCAACAGAUAGCUGGUGAAUUGAAUGGGCAACAUAUUAGACUUGGGCAAAAAAAA